rnacentral:misc_RNA from 1 species
GAUGAAGAACGUAGCGAAAUGCGAUACGUAAUGUGAACUGCAGAAUUCAGUGAAUCAUCGAAUCUUUGAACGCAUAUUGCGCUCUCUGGUAUUCCGGAGAGCAUGCUUGUUUGAGUAUCAGUAAACACCUCAACUUCCAUAUCUUUUUUGAAAUGGGAGUUGGACUUGAGUGAUCCCAACGCUUUUCCUCACCGAAAAGUGGCGGGUUACUUGAAAUGCAGGUGCAGCUGGACUUUUCUCUGAGCUAUAAGCAUAUCUAUUUAGUCUGCCUAAAAAACAGAUUAUUACCUUUGCUGCAGCUAACAUAAAGGAGAUUAGUUCUUGUGCUGACUGAUGCAGGAUUCACAAAGACAGGCUUCGGCCGACUUUGUAAACUCGAUCUCAAAUCAAGUAAGACUACCCGCUGAACUUAAGCAUAUCAAUAAGCGGAGGA